AUCUCAAAGUAUUUGUAUUUUAAUGUAGAACAAAACGUUACUUACUUUGAUUUGCGAGGGCGCUCCCGAAGAACAAAAUCAAAUACAAAGCGAGAAAACGCUCCGGUGAAGGCAUUCUUCUGCUUCCUGUAGAAGCGUAAUGUUCUCAGGAGAAAGCCGUCACCUGUGACAGCAGCGGCAACACUUCUUUAGACACUCAUGCAUGGUAUGAGCAGAGUGUCGGUGGACUAUUAAGGACAAGGAUGGCAAAGUUAUGUGCGAAUUAACACCGUCUCCAAAUACAAAUGUCCAAUGCACCUUGCCUGAAAUUCAUUUGUGCAUAAACUGCGACACUCCAAAGCGCAUUGACAAUUGCAUUUGCUACAAGUUACAAAGCACUGAGGCACUCUACAGUUACGGAGCAGCUCGCAAUCACAUUCAGUGGGAAGUGGUCGCUCUGUGUGUGUUGUGGUGGAUGUGUUGGUUCUGGUGCUGGAACUGAGUAAUAACCAAAACAUUAACGAUCCCGGGUGAUGAUGGAAGCUUGGCUCCACGCUUUAUUGCAGUUUUUGUGAUUUUAAUACCAAUUUGGCCAGAAGUUUGUGGAAACCUGACAAUCACACUUAUACAGACACAUUUUAUUUGGUGCUGAUUGCAGCUGAAGCCCUAAAGCCUGAUUUUGAACGCUUGUAUGUUACUAAUGAAUAUUUUAACACCACCUAGCAUUCACAUCAUACACCUUGUGACUGCUCACAUCCUGCAUGUGCAACGGUACAAUAUUGUUUUAUCUCGUGCUGAAUCUCAGGUUAAAUUGUUUGGUGUUUUGUAGCCUAAAACCUUUAUAGUACAUUCUACCUGUGCAUGUGCAUGAAAUGUAGUGGAUUUAAUGAACAUAUGCAUCUGGAUGGGUUAGUGGUCCCUUAGAGUUCUCUUAGCCUCGCUGUCCUGUGAGCUCUUAGAAUAGGCAUGACAUUUCUAUUCUAUAUUCAACAUGACAAUUCAUCUCAAAGCAGUUCAGCAGGGUGGAGAUCAGGGCUCUGUGGAGGAUCGUGAAGUUCCUCUACUUCAUAAACCAUGCUUGGUUCAGAGCUGUAUUGUCAGGAUGGGCAUCUUAGUACCAGAGGUGGGAGUAAGUCAGUUCUUUAGGACAGGUUCUUUAGGACCUUACUCCGGACAAAUUUUUAUUUCGGUGUUCCGACGGAAUUUUCGGUUUUCCGGUAGUCGACGAU